rnacentral:pre_miRNA from 1 species
UGUUAAGGAUGAGCAAAGAAAGGGGUUUCUUGAGGCAGAAUCUGCUCCUGGUGAAGAUGCUGUGAA